UACGAAGGGGGCUAGCGUUGCUCGGAAUCACUGGGCGUAAAGCGCACGUAGGCGGACUCUUAAGUCGGUGGUGAAAUCCUGGGGCUCAACCUCAGAAUUGCCUCCGAUACUGGCAGUCUCGAGUGCGGGAGAGGUGAGUGGAAUUCCCAGUGUAGAGGUGAAAUUCGUAGAUAUUGGGAAGAACACCAGUGGCGAAGGCGGCUCACUGGCCCGUAACUGACGCUGAGGUGCGAAAGCGUGGGGAGCAAACAGG
rnacentral:rRNA from 1 species